rnacentral:tRNA from 1 species
UGAUAGCUCAAUUGGAUAGAGCAACGCCCUUCUAAGGCGUCGGUUGUGGGUUCGACUCCCGCUCGG